UUCAAGAAUGAUCAAAACAUGGAUACAAUCAAAGCUAGUAUCCACAAUAGAUAUUUUAGACGAAAAGGGAAAAUUUUUAUUUUUCGAUGAAUAGUGCCGUAUUCGUGAAUAGUGUCGUAUACGUGAAUAGUGCCGUAUACGUGAAUAGUAACUCCGACACCAAAAGUUCCAAAUUUGAUAAAAACUUCAGAUCAAUAUUUCAGCAUAAUG
rnacentral:lncRNA from 1 species